UACGUAGGGAGCAAGCGUUGUCCGGAAUCAUUGGGCGUAAAGCGCGCGUAGGUGGCUUCGUAAGUCCGUUGUGAAAGUCAAAGGCUCAACCUUUGAAAGCCGAUGGAUACUGCGGAGCUAGAGUACGGAAGAGGCGAGUGGAAUUCCUGGUGUAGCGGUGGAAUGCGUAGAGAUCCGGAAGAACACCGGUGGCGAAGGCGGUCUGCUGGGCAGUAGCUGACACUGAGGCGCGACAGCGUGGGGAGCAAACAGG
rnacentral:rRNA from 1 species